rnacentral:antisense_RNA from 1 species
GGGCCUCUGGGAGAUGGCGAGGUCAUGAGGCUGCAGCUCUCUUGAGUGGGGUCAGUAUCCUUCUACAAGCGGCUCCAGGGAGGUCCCUUGCCCCUUCCACCAUGUGAGGACCCGAGAUGGUGCCGUCUAUGAACCAGGAAGUGAGUCCUCUCUGCACGUGGAACGAGCUGGUGCCUUGAUUUUGAACUUGCAGCCUCCAGCACGGCCACUAGCAUGUUUGAAGUCACAGGGCAGCGCCGGCCUGGACAGCGAGGCGGACAUCUGACAAGCGGGCCAAUGAGGAUGACACCUCGGACGGUAGUCACUGCUGCGACGGAAGUCAGUGCCCCGCCUUGCCCAGCCGCAGAGUGGACGCUAAGUGGCUCGCCCCACCCAGCCCGUCCUGCCUGCUCUGUCCCUCCCAACCCCGGCCCAUCCUGCCUGCUCUGUCCCUCCCAACCCCGGCCUGUCCUGCCUGCUCUGUCCCUCCCAACCCUGCAGUGGGCAGA